AUUUUUUUCGCCCGUAUAUGACAUAUAUUAAAGUUUUUUUUCAUGUCGAUGUGAACAGUACAAAUCAGAUUAUUUUUUUCUUUUUUUUUUCUCUCUCCUUUCCCCCUCCCCCACCAAAUUUGACCCAGGACUCUUUCAUAUGUGGACAUAAAUUGGAUAUGUAUCCAAUGUAACUGCAGUCUGGACACUCAGGUCAUGCUCCUCCGAACUAGACUUCAUCAAAUGGCGAUAAACGUCACAAUUGUUUGACAGGUUGUUAAACAGACAGGCGUGAAAAGUAACGCCGGCCAAAGGAGAAGUUAACAGUCAGUGGCAAAAAGGAUAUGCUUAAUAACUGAUAAAUACAAGAACAUUUUGGCUCCGGUUGCACAAAGUCCUUGAAAUUUACACAAAUGCGUCAGGACUGAGACCAACACAAGGGGCCAUAUUUAAUUACGUAAACACAAUGCGCCAUGUGACGUCGUGUUUUGUCUGCAUGGGAGUCACUUCAUGGACACAUUCCCUUUAGAUUAGAAGUCGCAUUUGUUUUCGUAAUGGGAAUGACUACAUAAAACAAUCGGGUUAAAAAAAAAAAUCAGAAUUGGGCAUCAUACCCCGCAGAAUAAAUGUAGCCAUCUAGAGAAGGGCAACCAUUUAGUCUCAUUUUCACAUAUGAGUGGGAACUGAAGCCAUGCUACCUGCACCGAAGUUAGGCGAAUGUAAGGGCAAAUAUACAAAUUACCUUGACUUGGCUCCCGACAUACUACUCCAGUAUUAUGUACAGUAUAGAGUGGUACCUUGACUUUAGAGUGCACAAACCUUUGGUUUUUCCAAGUUGUCGAUUUUUGCGUUGUGUUGCGAUCCAAAGUUUGACUUAUAAGCAAGCUUCACAUACGCUGCUAAUAGAUGGCGGCAGACACGUCAUCCGCCGAGCAUCCCGCAUCCAUCCAUCCAUCCAUUUUCUUCCGCUUAUCCUAUGUCGGGUUGGGCAGUAGCUUUAGCAGGGAAGCCCAGACUCUCCCCAGCCACUUCCUCUAGCUCUUCCUAUGGGAUCCCAAGGCGUUCCCAGGCAAGCCAAGAGACGUAGUCUCUCCAGCGUGUCCUGGGUCGUCCCCGGGGUCUCCUCCUGGUGGGACGUGCCCGGAACACCUCACCAGGGAGGCAUCCAGGAGGCAUCCUAAGCAGAUGCCUGAGCCACCUCAUCUGGCUUCUCUCAAUGAGGUGGUGAGCCCAUGGGAAAGGGGCCCACGUUACUCUUUCGGGCUGUGCCCGGCCCAUGGGCCCCAUGGGUGCAGGCCCCACCUCCAGGCCUGGCUCCAGAGGGGGGCCCCAGUGACCCGCGUCCGGGCAAGGGAAAAGGUCUUCCUGAAUUUUUUAACAUCAUAGGGUUUUUUGGAGCUGUGCUUUGUCUGGUCCAUCACCUAGGACCUGUUUGCCAUGGGUAACCCUGCCAAGGGCAUAAAGCCCCCGACAACUUGACUCCUAGGAUCAUUGGGACAAACAAACCCCUCCACCACGAUAAGGUGACAGCUCAAAGAGGGGGCAUGCCACAUCUACCUCACAAUUUGAGAUGUUCCGAAGAGCACAGUAACCUCCGUAAUCCUUAAAUGGAAGACAUUUGGGAUGACCAAGACUCUUCCUAGAGCUGGCCAUUCAACAAAACUGAGUGAUCGGGUGAGAAGAACUUUGGUGAGAGUGGUAAAGAAAAAAACAAAGGUCACUGUGGCUGAGCUCCAGAGAUGCAGGUAUGGGAGCAAGUUCUAGAAAGUCAUCCAUUAAAUUUAAAGCUUAGCAGAGUUGUAAGCGACCUGUCCUGUGUGGGAUAAGCUUUUUGCAAAGUCAGUUCAUGUCAAGGGUUAGAGGAAAUGAAUCACUUGCUUGUCUUUCUUCCUGCUGGUGUCUGUGCUGUGUCAGCUUAGUUGAAGAUCUAGCUUGUGUUCCUUCCCUGACAAUAGGCAUUUUGCUGACAUGCAUGAUGUGGAAAAAAGGUAAAACAAAAACACAGUGGCAUAAAAGAUGUUACAGCACUUGAGGAACAAUAAGAAACAAUAGUUUACUACGUGAUGACUAUUUCUCAUGUUUUUAGAUAUCUUUGCUAUGAAGAAAUCGUUUCGUUUCAUUGUCGCUCAACCAAGUACAUUUUACCAAAACAAUCGUCAAGUCAGUCACUGAUAGUCUAGUGGUUCACCCUCCUGACUUCCUUGCUGGCGGCGUGGUUUCAUAUCCCACAGCUGUCUACAUGUGACAGAUGAUUUCUGGCAACCAGUCCAGUGUGAGUCCCCUUUUAACUGCAAUGGGCUCCAGUUCCUCUUGAACAUGAACAGGAUAACCAGUAGAGAAAAUGCAUUGAUAGUCAAGUCUUCCAAGUCCAGUCUUUUUUUCACAUUUUCCAUCCCCAGGCUUUUUCCAGAG